AUACCUGGCAGCUGUGGGCGUGGACGUAACGUGGUGUGGGCCUUGCUUGCCAGGUCAACAAAACUCCACUCUUGGAACACAGCACUUACAAGUACAUUAGUAACGACGAGGGACUUGUGAGAAUCUAAAUGUGAAUCACACUUGGGGAAAGGCUCUUAAGAAUGCUGUCCUGCCGGAAAGUUCUGAUCAAAAACGCAUGCCGAAUGACUCCUCCUCAAAGCUUUUUGUUUGUGUUCAAAUCUGCUUUUGAAAAUCCACUCAUUAUAUUAGAGUAAUCGAGGAGAUUUACAACCCUUGUGGGAUCUGCAUGCAACCAGGUUUGGGGGGGGGGGGGGUAAGGGGGGUACACUUUCACUCUUUUGUUAUACGGUCAUCAACGUCAUCAGCCUCUGAGAAACAGUCUGAGUAUGGCUGCGUGGUGAAACUCACACAGACAAAGCCCGUUUCACAUUUUAUGUAAUGAGUCGAAUGGUCGACAUUUGAUUUCUUGUUCAGAUCUUCUGAGGUCCACUGGCACAACAUUUGGAACAAAACAAAGGUGAUCAUCUGGUGUCACCUCACACAUCGCCACCGUUGUAGUGUGCUUCAUCUUUCUAACAAUGUGUCGAGUUCAAAAUUGUACUGAGGUUCCCCUGCUUUCAUUGUGGUGCACAAUACUAGACAAUAACGUGCAUUGUGUCUCAUUGUGUGGCUCGCCAGGCUGCAUGGUUGUGAUUUACAGUGUUUGUUUUUGUUUGAACUGGUCCCCGCUCACAACGUUUUGUUGUCAUUAGAAGUGACACACAAAAGAGAUCUUUUUAAACACAAAUAUGACAAUUAUGUCAACCAACCAGACACGAUUGGGCGUCUCGACCCGGUCGACUUGUAUUCAUCACUUCUUGUCUACAGUGUAACAGAAGCAGUGAUGCCGACGUUUCAUUUGACAAAUUGUGUCAUUAAAUAUUUAUCACUUA